rnacentral:rRNA from 1 species
UACGUAGGGUGCAAGCGUUAAUCGGAAUUACUGGGCGUAAAGCGUGCGCAGGCGGUGAUGUAAGACAGAUGUGAAAUCCCCGGGCUCAACCUGGGAACUGCAUUUGUGACUGCAUCGCUAGAGUACGGCAGAGGGGGGAUGGAAUUCCGCGUGUAGCAGUGAAAUGCGUAGAUAUGCGGAGGAACACCGAUGGCGAAGGCAAUCCCCCUGGGCCUGUACUGACGCUCAUGCACGAAAGCGUGGGGGAGCAAACAGGG